ensembl:misc_RNA Metazoa_SRP Metazoan signal recognition particle RNA
GCCCAGCACGGUGGCGCAUGCCUGUGGUCCCAGCUACUUGAGAGGUUGAGGUGGGAGGAUCGCUUGAGCCCAGGAAUUCUGGGCUGUAGUUCGCUAUGCCGAUAGGGUGUCCGCACGAAGUUCAGCAUCAAUACGGUGACCUCCCGGGAUCAGGGGACCAUCUGGUUGCCUAAGGAGGGGUGAAGCAGCCCAGGUCGGAAACUGAGCAGGGCUGUCAAAACUCCCGUGCUGAUCAGUAGUGGGAUCGCGCCUGUGAAUAGCCACUGCACUCCAGCCUGAGCAACAUAGGGAGACCCCGUGUCUA